rnacentral:lncRNA from 1 species
GGCAAUAGAAUGAAUAUUCAUCCAUUUUCGUCUUGGCUUGGGUUCUGUCUCUCAACAAGGAAGGAAGGCAUCCAGCUGAAUCUGUAGGAAAGUCUGAAACAAAAGGAUGCAGCUUCCGAUCCACAAUCUCGAACUGGGGCGAAUGAAGAAAGCUGCCUUCAUAAAGAAAGACAGCUGGAUUGAGUUCCACAGCAACACUCGAUUCGGCACAGUCGAUUUGUCCAACUGCCGAAAUCAAGUGCUCAAAUCUAGGGCUCUCUCUCUCUUUGUUCUUUUCUUGUAUAGUGCCCCCGAGAGGAAGGCGUAGUUGCGCUUUACCGGAAGUGAACUUGUCAAAAAUGUUAAACAUGGGAAUACUUCAAAAUGAAGAUUUUCAUGAUCUGGUCUGGUCGACCCAAUCAUGAUAUUGAAGGAUAGGACCUUUUCUCGAAAAACUCCC